rnacentral:rRNA from 1 species
AACGAACGCUGGCGGCAUGCCUAACACAUGCAAGUCGAACGAGACCUUCGGGUCUAGUGGCGCACGGGUGCGUAACGCGUGGGAACCUGCCUUUAGGUUCGGAAUAACUCAGAGAAAUUUGAGCUAAUACCGGAUGAUGUCUUCGGACCAAAGAUUUAUCGCCUUUAGAUGGGCCCGCGUUGGAUUAGCUAGUUGGUGGGGUAAAGGCCUACCAAGGCGACGAUCCAUAGCUGGUCUGAGAGGAUGAUCAGCCACACUGGGACUGAGACACGGCCCAGACUCCUACGGGAGGCAGCAGUGGGGAAUAUUGGACAAUGGGCGAAAGACUGAUCCAGCAAUGCCGCGUGAGUGAUGAAGGCCUUAGGGUUGUAAAGCUCUUUUACCCGAGAUGAUAAUGACAGUAUCGGGAGAAUAAGCUCCGGCUAACUCCGUG